UUGGUGUUGUUGUUGUUUCUUUUUUUUUUCUUUUUUUUUUCUUUUUUUCCUUUUUUUCCUUUUGUCCAUAACGCUUUUUUUUUCCGAAAUGGAAAAAAAG
rnacentral:ribozyme from 14 species